AUUGAACGCUGGCGGCAUGCCUUACACAUGCAAGUCGAACGGCAGCACGGGUGCUUGCACCUGGUGGCGAGUGGCGAACGGGUGAGUAAUACAUCGGAACGUACCUUAUCGUGGGGGAUAACGCAGCGAAAGCUGUGCUAAUACCGCAUAAGCCCUGAGGGGGAAAGCGGGGGAUCGAAAGACCUCGCGCGAUUAGAGCGGCCGAUGCCUGAUUAGCUUGUUGGUGGGGUAAAAGCCCACCAAGGCGACGAUCAGUAGCUGGUCUGAGAGGACGAUCAGCCACACUGGGACUGAGACACGGCCCAGACUCCUACGGGAGGCAGCAGUGGGGAAUUUUGGACAAUGGGGGCGACCCUGAUCCAGCAAUGCCGCGUGAGUGAAGAAGGCCUUCGGGUUGUAAAGCUCUUUUGUCAGGGAAGAAACACCGGCUCUAACACAGUCCGGGAAUGACGGUACCUGAAGAAUAAGCACCGGCUAACUACGUGCCAGCCGCCGCAGUAA
rnacentral:rRNA from 1 species